UUUGGUGGUCAUAGCGCGAGCAAAACACCCGGAUCCAUUCCGAACCCGGCCGUUAAGUGCCGUCGCGCCGAUGGUACUGCGUCUCAAGACGUGGGAGAGUAGGUCACCGCCAAAC
rfam:Citreicella sp. SE45 genomic scaffold scf_1113211290439, whole genome shotgun sequence.